AAUAGGUAAAGUAAGAAAGAGCGUAUGGCGGAUGCCUAGGCACAGAGAGGCGAAGAAGGACGCAGCAAACAGCGAAAUGCGACGGUCAGCAGUAAGCAUGCAGAGAUCCGUCGAUGUCCGAAUGGGGGAACCCACCUGGAGUAGAGACCAGGUAUCCUGAAGUGAAUAAAUAGCUUCAGAGAGGCGAGACUCAGGGAACUGAAACAUCUAAGUACCUGAAGGAAGAGAAAAUAAACGAAUGAUUCCCUAAGUAGCGGCGAGCGAAAGGGGAGGAGCCCAAACCGAUCUGAGGAUCGGGGUUGUAGGACUGUCGAAAAAGAGCAAGAAGACAUUAUAGGCGAACGGAAUGGGAAGUCCGGCGAAACAGGGUGAGAGCCCCGUAGCCGAAAUAGUGAAGAAGCUUGAGACAGCACCUGAGUACGGCGGGACACGAGGAAUCCUGUCGGAAUCCACCAGGACCAUCUGGUAAGGCUAAAUACUCCUCUGUGACCGAUAGUGAACCAGUACCGUGAGGGAAAGGUGAAAAGAACCCCGGGAGGGGAGUGAAAAAGAACCUGAAACCAUAUGCUUACAAGAAGUUAGAGCCCGUUAAAGGGUGAUAGCGUGCCUUUUGUAGAAUGAACCGGCGAGUUACGAUAUGGAGCGAGGUUAAGCAGGAUAUGCGGAGCCGAAGCGAAAGCGAGUCUUAAUAGGGCGAAAGUUGCAUGUCGUAGACCCGAAACCGAGUGAUCUAGCCAUGACCAGGUUGAAGUUGGGGUAAAACCCGAUGGAGGACCGAACCGACCCCCGUUGAAACGUUGGCGGAUGAGUUGUGGCUAGGGGUGAAAUUCCAAUCGAACUCGGAGAUAGCUGGUUCUCCCCGAAAUAGCUUUAGGGCUAGCGUCGAGGUAAAGUCGUGUGAAGGUAGAGCACUGAAUAUGUGAUGGCCCCAUCCCGGGGUACUGAAUAUAAUCAAACUCCGAAUGUCACAAAGAUAUACUCGGCAGUCAGACAGUGGGUGAUAAGGUCCAUUGUCAAAAGGGAAACAGCCCAGACCAUCAGCUAAGGUCCCAAAAUAUAUACUAAGUGGAAAAGGAUGUGGAGAUGUCCAGACAACUAGGAGGUUGGCUCAGAAGCAGCCAUCCUUUAAAGAGUGCGUAACAGCUCACUAGUCGAAUGACUCUGCGCCGAUAAUUUACCGGGGCUAAGUAUAUUACCGAAGCUAUGGAUUUACGCAGAUGCGUGAGUGGUAGGGGAGCGUUCUAUGUACAGAGAAGCGGUACCGGAAGGAGCCGUGGAGAGCAUAGAAGAGAGAAUGCCGGUGUGAGUAGCGGAACGCGGGUGAGAAUCCCGCGCACCGAAAACCCAAGGUUUCCAGAGGAAGGUUCGUCCGCUCUGGGUAAGUCGGGACCUAAGGCGAGGCCGAGAGGCGUAGUCGAUGGACAACAGGUAGAGAUUCCUGUACUUACGGUAUGAAUGAAGGAGUGACGGAGAAGGCUAGCGGAUCCUGCUGCUGGAAUAGCAGGUGCAAGCGAGGUAGCUGAC
rnacentral:rRNA from 1 species